UACGGAGGGGACUAGCGUUGUUCGGAUUCAUUGGGCGUAAAGGGUGCGUAGGCGGCGGGGUAAGUUUGAUGUGAAAUCCCGGGGCUCAACCCUGGAAUUGCAUUGAAUACUACCUUGCUAGAGUACCGGAGAGGAAACUGGAAUUUACGGUGUAGCAGUGAAAUGCGUAGAGAUCGUAAGGAAGACCAGUGGCGAAGGCGAGUUUCUGGACGGUAACUGACGCUGAGGCACGAAGGCCAGGGGAGCAAACGGG
rnacentral:rRNA from 1 species